rnacentral:rRNA from 1 species
GGAUUGCCCCAGUAACGGCGAGUGAAGCGGCAGAGCUCAAAUGUGAAAGCUGGCUCCUUCGGGGUCCGCAUUGUAAUGUGCAGAGGAUGCUUCGGGAGCGGUCCCCAUCUAAAGUGCCCUGGAACGGGACGUCAUAGAGGGUGAGAAUCCCGUAUGGGAUGGGGUGUCCGCGCCCGUGUGAGGCUCCUUCGACGAGUCGAGUUGUUUGGGAAUGCAGCUCUAAAUGGGUUGGUAAAUUUCAUCUAAAGCUAAAUAUUGGCCGGAGACCGAUAGCGCACAAGUAGAGUGAUCGAAAGAUGAAAAGCACUUUGAAAAGAGAGUUAAAAAGCACGUGAAAUUGUUGAAAGGGAAGCGCUUGCGACCAGACUCGCUCGCGGGGUUCAGCCGGCAUUCGUGCCGGUGUACUUCCCCGCGGGCGGGCCAGCGUCGGUUUGGGCGGUCGGUCAAAGGCCCUCGGAAGGUAACGCCCCUAGGGGCGUCUUAUAGCCGAGGGUGCAAUGCGACCUGCCUAGACCGAGGAACGCGCUUCGGCUCGGACGCUGGCAUAAUGGUCGUACGCGACCCGUCUUGAAACACGGACCAAGGAGUCUAACAUCUACGCGAGUGUUCGGGUGUCAAACCCGUGCGCGAAGUGAAAGCGAACGGAGGUGGGAACCCUUACGGGUGCACCAUCGACCGAUCCUGAAGUCUUCGGAUGGAUUUGAGUAAGAGCGUAGCUGUUGGGACCCGAAAGAUGGUGAACUAUGCCUGAAUAGGGCGAAGCCAGAGGAAACUCUGGUGGAGGCUCGUAGCGGUUCUGACGUGCAAAUCGAUCGUCGAAUUUGGGUAUAGGGGCGAAAGA